ACCGGCGAACGGGUGCGUAACGCGUAUAGAAUCUGCCUUGUACAGGAGGAUAGCCUUUAGAAAUGAAGAUUAAUACUCCAUAAUGCUCUAUUACGGCAUCGUAAUUUAGUUAAAGAUUUAUUGGUACAAGAUGACUAUGCGUCCUAUUAGCUAGAUGGUAAGGUAACGGCUUACCAUGGCAACGAUAGGUAGGGGGUCUGAGAGGAUUAUCCCCCACACUGGUACUGAGACACGGACCAGACUCCUACGGGAGGCAGCAGUGAGGAAUAUUGGUCAAUGGAGGCAACUCUGAACCAGCCAUGCCGCGUGUAGGAUGACUGCCCUAUGGGUUGUAAACUACUUUUAUACAGGAAGAAACAGCGAUACGUGUAUCGCCUUGACGGUACUGUAAGAAUAAGCACCGGCUAACUCCGUGCCAGCAGCCGCGGUAAUACGGAGGGUGCAAGCGUUAUCCGGAAUCAUUGGGUUUAAAGGGUCCGCAGGCGGUCAAUUAAGUCAGAGGUGAAAUCCUACAGCUUAACUGUAGAACUGCCUUUGAUACUGGUU
rnacentral:rRNA from 1 species